rnacentral:rRNA from 1 species
UAAUAUUCGGGCAAUUUCCCUUUAAGUGGAAAACAACCUGCCGAAAGGUGGGCUAAUGUUCCAUAUGACCACGAUCUCGCAUGAGAUUGAGGUAAAAGCUCCGCAAGGGGCGCUUAAUGAGAAGCCCAAAUCCUAUCAUGGUAGUUGGUGAGGUAACGGCUCACCAAGCCUUCGACGGGUAGCCGGCCUGAAAGGGUGAUCAGCCACACUGGAACUGAGACACGGUCCAG